UCUGUAGCUCAGUAGGAUAGAGCAACGGCCUUCUAAGCCGUGGGUCCGGGGUUCGAAUCCCUGC
rnacentral:tRNA from 1 species